AAAGAGGCAAGAAAAAGUCUCUUGCCUCUUCAGCAGUUCCAGACUUUUUCCCGGACUCCCUCCCGGCCAGCUGUGGCGCACUAGCCCCCUUCAGGCUGUGUUCACGCCGCCAACCCCAGUCCUCUCCCUGCGAUCCGACUGAAGCUCAAGCCUCAGCUCCCAGCCCCCGCCCGCCCAGACAAGCCUCUCGGGCUGAAUUUUACUUCAGGUUAAGAUGCAGAAGGUUGUGACAGAUCAUCGCUCUCACCAGAAAAAUUAUAAAAAUAUGGAUUAAAUAAAAAUUCCUGUGUUUCAACACACUGGAGAGCUAUGAAUGAAAAGAAUCUAAAGACUCCGAGAGAAGAAUAGACCCUUCCUGGUUGAGCAGAGACCUUGGACUGCUUUUCUCCUGGGAACCCUAGCUGAGUUUACACAGAAAGAAUCUGCUGGGGUGCAUUCAGAUGUCCACUGAGGCUGCAGUCAUCUGAAGGCUUGCCUGGCUGAACAUCCAAAUUGGCUCAAUCAUGUAGCUGGCAAGUGCUGCUAAACUUCUGCUGGGAGCUCCACUGACUACUCACACCCUCUCCAGUGUGGCGC